rfam:Canis lupus familiaris chromosome 5, whole genome shotgun sequence.
GCCUGGCGUAGUUGUGCGUGUCUGUAGUCUCAGUUACUUGCGAGAAGCUGAUGCAGGAGGAUCGCUUGAGCCCAAGAGUUCUGGGCUAUAGUGUACUAUGCGGAUUGGGUAUCCACACUAAGUUUGACAUCAAUAUGGUGACAUCCUAAGAGCAGGGGACCACCAGGUUGCCUAAAGAGGGUUGAACCAGCUCAGGUCAGAAACUAGUAGGUCAAAACUCCCAUCCUUAUCAGUAGUUGGGAUGGUGUCUGUGAAUAACCACUGCUCUUCAGCCUCUGCAACAUAUCAAGACCUCAUUUCAA